rnacentral:rRNA from 1 species
UACGGGGGGAGCUAGCGUUGUUCGGAAUUACUGGGCGUAAAGCGCACGUAGGCGGCUAUUCAAGUCAGAGGUGAAAGCCCGGGGCUCAACCCCGGAACUGCCUUUGAAACUAGAUAGCUUGAAUCCAGGAGAGGUGAGUGGAAUUCCGAGUGUAGAGGUGAAAUUCGUAGAUAUUCGGAAGAACACCAGUGGCGAAGGCGACUCACUGGACAAGUAUUGACGCUGAGGUACGAAAGCGUGGGGAGCAAACAGG